rnacentral:rRNA from 1 species
AAGGAUCAUUACCUAGAGUUUGUAGACUUCGGUCUGCUACCUCUUACCCAUGUCUUUUGAGUACCUUCGUUUCCUCGGCGGGUCCGCCCGCCGAUUGGACAACAUUCAAACCCUUUGCAGUUGCAAUCAGCGUCUGAAAAAACAUAAUAGUUACAACUUUCAACAACGGAUCUCUUGGUUCUGGCAUCGAUGAAGAACGCAGCGAAAUGCGAUAAGUAGUGUGAAUUGCAGAAUUCAGUGAAUCAUCGAAUCUUUGAACGCACAUUGCGCCCCUUGGUAUUCCAUGGGGCAUGCCUGUUCGAGCGUCAUUUGUACCUUCAAGCUCUGCUUGGUGUUGGGUGUUUGUCUCGCCUCUGCGUGUAGACUCGCCUUAAAACAAUUGGCAGCCGGCGUAUUGAUUUCGGAGCGCAGUACAUCUCGCGCUUUGCACUCAUAACGACGACGUCCAAAAGUACAUUUUUACACUCUUGACCUCGGAUCAGGUAGGGAUACCCGCUGAACUUAAGCAUAUC